GACGAACGCUGGCGGCGUGCUUAACACAUGCAAGUCGAACGAAGUGGCGAACGGGUGAGUAAUACGUGGGUAACCUGCCCUCCUUUUUGGGAUAAGCCUUCGGAACCGGGUCUAAUACCGAAUCAAGGGUGAUGGGCUCGCGGCCUAUCAGCUUGUUGGUGGGGUGCUGGCCUACCAAGCCGGUGACGGGUAGCCGGCCUGAGAGGGUGAACGGACAGAUUGGGCGUGGGAUACGGCCCCGACUCGUACGGGAGGCAGCAGUGGGGGAGAUUGCACAAUGGGCGAAAGGCUGAUGCAGCGACGCCGAGUGGGGGAUGAAGUCUGUCGGGUUGUAAACCUCUUUCGCUAGCCAACGGGUAGGUGGAGAAGAAGCGCCGGCUAACUACGUGCCAGCAGCCGCGGUAAUAC
rnacentral:rRNA from 1 species